CUACAUUGCAAAAAACAAACAAACAAACAAACAACAAGAAAAUGUGCAGCACAGUGUUGUUUCCCCAUGUUUCUUGUGUUUCCUGUUAUUGGCUACACAACUGCACAUGCUGCUUGACAAUACGAUGCAUAUAUAAUAAGUGAAUUGUAUGCAUUUGCAUAUCCUCUUGCACAAAUUACACACACAUAUGCAUGUAUACAGAAAACUUUCCUGGACACAGGGUUGCAGAUCACAUGCACACCUAAGGAGCAAGGGAAGGACAGGAAAAGUGACUUCCUGUUUCUAACGAAUUGUAGAUUGAGUAUUCUGCAUAUGUCAAAGGUGUGAGGAACAAGAAAUGACAUUCAGAUGAAAAGGGAUGCUGUCUUUAGGGGGUCUUUUGAAAUUUUGCUGCAUCUUUCAUCUUUUUCACUUUUCCUAUUGUUAACUUUACCAACUAUCAAGCAUGCUAAUUUGCCUGAUUUGAGGUCAGAGAGAAAUGUGAAUGGAUUUCCAACUUCCCUUAGAGCACACAGGAAGGGCCAUCUGUUAGAACUCACUGGGUGUGUCAAUCCCUUUUGACUCAUCUUCCCUGACAACAGGGUGGAAGAGUAACUGGCCGACCACAGAGUUCUCGCUAUUCACAGUAAGAAAUACACUUUCCCUCUGAGAAGUCCAUCAGUUAAUAUUAACAAGGAGAAAGAAAAGAAAUAACUUGGCAGGAGGCUCUGAAUCUCCCCCUGACUCUGUUUCAAGACAUGAACAAGGAUAGUGUCCAGCUGUAAAGGAUACCUCUCUUCCUCUGAUGAGAGUGACAACCAGGAAACUGAAAUCAGGGGGCACCUGCUCUCCCUGACCAACACCCACCCACUCUGGUUCUCCUGGGCUACGCUAGUCAUAACCAGUAGCACUACUCACACAUGUGUGUAUCUGUUGCACAUUGUGAACUAAUCCACUUUCUACUCCAUGAAGAAAUCAGAAGCAGUGACAAUAGAUACCAAGCCAACCCCAAAUCUCCCAAGUAUACUCAGAACAAACAACUAUUCGAAUGCUGUACAAUGGACACAGGAAGCUGGUGUAUUCAGUAUCUAAGGAGAUUUCUCUUUCUUUCUAUUUUUCCUUUUUUCCCCACAGUGGAAGCUAGAACUUUAUUACAAAACCACAGAUAAGUAUAUCAACUGUUAGGAUGCUGGCCCAGCAGAACACAAGGAAAUAAGAGAUAAGGGAAUUUGGUCACAUACAAAAAGUGUUGUGGGAUUUAAAGCGAAUGACAGCAGAUAAGCCUUUUUCUGAGUUUCUAUUAAAAAUGUACUAAAUAAGAAAUCCAAAAACAUCCUUUCUAGGCCAGCACUUUUGUUCCUAUAUUGCUCAUCGUAAAUGUAUAGACUCUUCACCAAGGAAGUGAUUCUACUCACAGUCGCAGAAAAUACACUUCGCUGGAGUCAUGUUAAAGACACAACAACUUCAGACUGAUGCCCUGCGAGUUUUUGAUUAAAGUUCAGCAUUUGAAUAAAUAGACUUUAUUUAUACA
rnacentral:lncRNA from 1 species